rnacentral:misc_RNA from 1 species
AAGUCGUAACAAGGUUUCCGUAGGUGAACCUGCGGAAGGAUCAUUACACUCAGUAGUUUACUACUGUUAAAGAGGCUGUUAGUCUGUAUAGCUUUAUCGCUGAUGAGCAGCUGGCCUCUUUUCUCCACCCUUGUCUUUUGCGCACCCAUGUUUCCUCGGUAGGCUUGCCUGCCGGUUGGACAAUACAACAACCUUUUUAAUUUUCAAUCAGCGUCUGAAAAAAACUUAAUAAUUACAACUUUCAACAACGGAUCUCUUGGUUCUG